rnacentral:rRNA from 1 species
GACGAACGCUGGCGGCGUGCCUAAUACAUGCAAGUCGAGCGAAUCAAUGGGAGCUUGCUCCCUGAGAUUAGCGGCGGACGGGUGAGUAACACGUGGGUAACCUGCCUGUAAGACUGGGAUAACUUCGGGAAACCGGAGCUAAUACCGGAUACUUUCUUUUCUCGCAUGAGGGAAGAUGGAAAGAUGGUUCUGCUAUCACUUACAGAUGGACCGGCGGCGCAUUAGCUAGUUGGUGAGGUAACGGCUCACCAAGGCAACGAUGCGUAGCCGACCUGAGAGGGUGAUCGGCCACACUGGGACUGAGACACGGCCCAGACUCCUACGGGAGGCAGCAGUAGGGAAUCUUCCGCAAUGGACGAAAGUCUGACGGAGCAACGCCGCGUGAGCGAAGAAGGCCUUCGGGUCGUAAAGCUCUGUUGUUAGGGAAGAACAAGUACGAGAGUAACUGCUCGUACCUUGACGGUACCUAACCAGAAAGCCACGGCUAACUACGUGCCAGCCGCCGCCGUAAGAC